rnacentral:rRNA from 1 species
AGUUUAGACACAGCACGUAUAGCAUAGGUGGGAGGCAUUGAAACUGUCGCGUCAGCGGCGGCGGAGCCACCAGUGGAAUACCACUCUUGUAAUGUCGGAGCUCUAACCUACACCCGUGAAUCCGGGUGAGGGACCGUGUCAGGUGGGUAGUUUGACUGGGGCGGUCGCCUCCUAAAGAGUAACGGAGGCGCCCAAAGGUUCCCUCAGUACGGUUGGAAAUCGUACGUCGAGCGCAAAGGUAUAAGGGAGCUUAACUGCGAGACAGACAAGUCAAGCAGAUGGGAAACCAGGGCUUAGUGAUCUUACGGUGCCGCGUGGAAGGGCCGUGACUAAACGGAUAAAAGGUACUCCGGGGAUAACAGGCUUAUCGCGUCCGAGAGUCCGUAUUGACGACGCGGUUUGGCACCUCGAUGUCGGCUCAUCACAUCCUGGGGCCGCAGUUGGUCCCAAGGGUUGGGCUGCUCUCCCAUUAAAGUUGGUACGUGAGCUGGGUUUAGAACGGCGCAAGCCAGUUCGGUCCCUAUCCGCUGUGGGCGUAGGAGAUUUGAGAAGAGCUGUCCCUAGUAUGACAAGACCGGGAUGGACGAACCUCUAGUGUACCAGUUGUUCCGCCAGGAGCACCGCUGGGUAGCUACGUUCGGAAGGGAUAAACGCUGAAAGCAUAUCAAGCGUGAAGCCCACUUCAAGAUAAGAUUUCCCAUCGGGUCAACCGAGUAAGACUCCUUCAAGACUAGGAGGUUGAUAGGCCGGGGGUGUAAGCGCAGCAAUGUGUUUAGCUGACCGGUACUAAUAGUCGAGGGCUUGUCCAA